UAAAUACCUUUCCAGUCUCUCUAUUUGGCAAGCUAUUCUUCAGCUCCCCUCUUGUUCUCUGAGUCUUACAGAUGUAUUCCUUGAAGCCAGGGAGGGUCUCAGAAAAAAGAAAACACAAUAAAAGACUCCAGGUUGGAAGGACAAGUACCUUCAGGGGCCUGCAUAAGGAAGUUUGCAGCCUACGCUGAAGAAAAGCUAGAAUGAUGCUGGCAGCAGUGUUAUCUCUCACAGAGCACUGCAAAUCCAAGGAUUUAGAGAAGCAAACAGAGCGAAAGCGUGAAGUAAUGGAGCUGGCGGUGCUCAGGAAAAGGAAAGGCUCUUUCAAAGGCGUAGGUGAUCUGAAAGUUAGUGAGAAGGAAAUGAAACUCAAGUCCUCUACAAAAGGAA
ensembl:lncRNA